rnacentral:rRNA from 1 species
UACGUAGGGGGCAAGCGUUAUCCGGAUUUACUGGGUGUAAAGGGGGCGCAGACGGCGAUGCAAGCCAGGGGUGAAAGCCCGGGGCCCAACCCCGGGACUGCCCUUGGAACUGUGCGGCUAGAGUGCGGGAGGGGCAGGCGGAAUUCCUGGUGUAGCGGUGAAAUGCGUAGAUAUCAGGAGGAACACCGGCGGCGAAGGCGGCCUGCUGGACCACGACUGACGUUGAGGCUCGAAAGCGUGGGGAGCGAACAGG